rnacentral:rRNA from 1 species
UACGAAGGGUGCAAGCGUUACUCGGAAUUACUGGGCGUAAAGCGUGCGUAGGUGGUUUGUUAAGUCUGUUGUGAAAGCCCCGGGCUCAACCUGGGAAUGGCAAUGGAUACUGGCAGGCUAGAGUGCGGUAGAGGGUAGUGGAAUUCCCGGUGUAGCGGUGAAAUGCGUAGAUAUUGGGAAGAACACCAGUGGCGAAAGCGGACUUCUGGGUUGUUACUGACGCUGAGGUACGAAAGCGUGGGGAGCAAACGGG